AAGAAAGACAGAAGAAGAGGGAGAAAGAGGGAGAUUUGCUUGCAUAGAGGCCACUUCUUGAAUCAAUCUCUUCAAUUUUCUUCUGUUUACAAUUUUCUCUUCCUCUGCCAACUUUGAAUAAUGAUGGUAAAAU
rnacentral:ribozyme from 13 species